rnacentral:rRNA from 1 species
UGUGUAGGCGGUUUGGUAAGUCUGGUGUGAAAUCUCCCGGCUCAACUGGGAGGGUGCGCCGGAAACUGCCGGACUCGAGUGCGGGAGAGGAAAGUGGAAUUCCUGGUGUAGCGGUGAAAUGCGUAGAUAUCAGGAGGAACACCGGUGGUGUAGACGGCUUUCUGGACCGUAACUGACGCUGAAACACGAAAGCGUGGGUAGCAAACAGGAUUAGAUACCCUGGUAGUCCACGCCCUAAGCGAUGCACAUUUGGUGUGGGUCAUUCAGUUGAUCCGUGCCGGAGCUAACGCGUUAAAUGUGCCGCCUGGGGAGUACAGUCGCAAGGCUGAA